GGGGUACCCAGACACUCCAAGACCAAGUGACUUGCCCAAAGUCACAAACCAGGGUCCCAACCCAGAUGGAGUCUGAUCUCAGAGCUGGCUUUCACUAUGACCUUGUCCCAGGACAGGCUGACAUUAUCGUGGCCAAUGUCCAGCCGACCAGAUAUGGGGUGAUCAAUUGUUUGAAGGUGAAAGGUGAAACAGGCGACUUCCUUCACUGUCUUUCUCUGGGAGCACGAUGAGCACUAAUUACCCGCUCACUGCCAAGCUGGCACCCGGCAUGAGCUGUCAGGAGCCUCCAGUCCCUUCCUGAAGCAUGCAGGUGUGCUGCAUGUCACAAAAGCACUGUGAAAGAGGAAAAGAACUGCACCCACAUGACACGUGUGUGGAGGAGCCGGGAGCUGUGCUGGCCAUUGUGGGAUCACUCCAUCCUGUAAGUUGGUUGUGUUGCAUCCGCUGGUCCUCUGUCCCUUCUCUGGUUUACAGAGAAUGGUAGCGUCUGAGAAUCCUCUUCUAAAGGGCUUAACUCCCUGCCAGGAGUCACUGGAAAUAAAUGCAACACCUCUUCCCACACUGGUCUGCUCUCCACUGGGACAAAUCUCUUGUCUUGCCCACUGCUUCCACACUCUGUGAACAAAUGCUAGGAGCAGCUAAGAACAUUCAUUCAUUCCUUGCACCUAACAACCCAAUCCACC
rnacentral:lncRNA from 10 species